rnacentral:lncRNA from 1 species
CGGAGUGUUCGCGGUGGUCGUGACACCUCUUCUUGAUCGGAGCGGAGGAGAGAGGAGGUUUUCCGGCUGAGACUGGCGGAGGAGUGAGGAAGAGGGAGGAUCCUAGUUUGCCGUAAGAGACACUGGCGUCGCCGGUGAUGGCGGAGGACAUGAAGGAGGAGUUGGAGGAGACGCUGAAGGUUUCUUUAGAGAAUUGGAGGUCCAUGGAUUUGGCGUUGGAGGCGAAAAUGCUAGGUUUUGUGAAAUCGAGGGUUAGAGACUGGGAGUGCGAAGGGACGAAGGUGGAGGGAGGUUGGUGGAGGGUGACCGGG